GUGUAGUAAGUUAGCAGCCCAUACACUAAAAUUAGAACAAUGCAGAGUAGGUUAGCAUGACCACCACAUAAGGAUGACAUGCAAAUUUGCAAAACAUUUCAUAAAAAA